rnacentral:lncRNA from 1 species
GCUCAGUAAGCCGGGUGUUCCGGGUCGUGUGGGACCUACUGCCUGACCUCAGCAACACAUGUAGCUUGUAAAGCUUCCCUGCUCCUGCAGAAAGCCCUGCAGGCCUGCUGGCUGGAUCCAAGCAUUUUGAGUUUGGCACAAUGCACUUGGACCCUACUUCUCACCACUAGGUAUAGUAAUGUCAGGUAGGAAAGCGCACUUCACAGAAUCACAGAAUUGCUCAAGUUGGAAAAGACCUUCAAGAUCAUCAAGCCCAACUGCAACCUAACCAUACUACUCUAACAACCCACCACUAAAUCACGCCCCCGAGCACCAUAUCCAAACGGUUUUUAAACACAUUCAGGGAAGGUGACUCAACCACCUCCCUGGGGAGCCUGUUCCAGUGCUUAACAACCCUUUCUGAAAUUAAGUUUUUCCUGAUAUCCAACCUAAACCUCCUCCGGCGCAAUUUGAGGCCAUUUCCCCUUGUCCUGUCACCUGUCACCAGUGAGAAGAGACCAACCUCGCUCUCGCUGCAAUCAUCUUUCAGGUAUUUGAAGAGAGCAAUGAGGUCUUCCCUCAGCCUCCUCUUCCCCAGACUAAACAGCCCCAGUUCCUUCAGUCACACCUCAUAGUGAUUUGCAACCACUUCACAGAGACUGCAUUCCGGAAUGACUUAGCAAGGAUCUUAUGUAGGCAGCAGUGCAUGAUGCGAUCCGAUUAACGCUGCAUUUCCCAAGCUAUUCUGCUCUGCAUUCUCCUCCCAUAUUACCUCUGAAGCCACACCCUACUCACAAUCAUCACAGGCACGGGGCUGUGCUGACAUAGCUACUUGUUUUCUCGUUGGCAGCACCAAAACAGACAACUGACAGUGGGAAACCAUAUCCUGAAUACAUUUAAACAGCCAAAUCUACUUACAUACAGAGAGGUAAUGAAGCAAUUUCAGUAAUGCUGAGGGUCAGUAUAAGCGAAGAUAACUACAGCAUAAUUUGUGCACACCCUUAUUCCUCAAGAAGAUGUACACAUGUCACUGAAGUGUUAUGCUUCAGGAAUUCUCUGCAAGAUCCAGCCACGACUACCAUUUUGGACAUUUUAUUUCUAGAAAAGAAAUAUGUUUGAGUGCCACUACAAAAGUAGCGCUGAAAGAAAUAUUUUUAAAAAAUAAUGAAGUUCAUCAGGUGUUGGACUUCAAUAAAAGAUGUUAAAACCGCA